rnacentral:tRNA from 1 species
UCUUCGAUGGUCUAGUGGUGAUGAUUUCCGCUUGUCAAUGAUGAUAAUCCUCAUUAGCAAGCGCGGGAGACCGGGGUUCGAUUCCCCGUCGGAGAG